CCAACGACCUCGUCCCGGGAGGGCCCUCCGUGUUCCUGCCAGCCCCGGAAGCGGUUCUCCGGAGCCCUCCGGCCGCGCUGCUUCCAGGCCGCGGCCACGACCAGCCCAGCGCGGGAUGAGAAGCAGAAGAGCCAGGAUGUCACCCUGGCAGCAGCCUCCCAGAGUCUGGGCUCCAAAUCAUCUCCUUGUAAUGCCCACACCAGGUGUUCCAACAGAAGGGAAUUGUGAUAACACUCUGCAAUGAACCUGUAUAGGAAGUACAAACAUGUGGAUGACACUGGGAAAGUGAACA